CGAGAAUACAUUAAGAUGACUUCGACAAAACGGAUCUCCCAAGCCGGUGGCAGCGGCUCGGGCGAGGCCUUGGACAAACGGCCCUCUUCAGGGCCACCUGAGAGCGCUCCUGGAGCUAGGUCCUUUUCAGGACCCCUAUGCGCCUCCUGUCCCGUCUCCCUGGCACCGGGUGACGGGCACUUGGCGUGCUUUCGGUGCCUGGGCGCCGACCACGCCACGGCUGCUAUGGCGGCCCCCGUCUCCUGUGUCGCCUGCCGGGAGCUGCCUGAAGAGGGGAUCCUCUCCAGGCAUCUCUUCUUUUCUCCUGCGGUGGACCCCGCUGACGCCAUCGACCUGUUCAGGGCCGGCCCUGAUCUGAACGACGACGACGGCAUCGUCGACACGAUGACGACGCCUCCAUGGACGACGUCUUCGGUGACCGGUUUUUCCCGCUCCCGGGUUACAACCGUCACAGUCGUCCAACGUGGGAAACCGCGCCGGAUGGCCGAUCUCUUCUGGAGAUCAUGGGUGAGGCGGCGGCCAUCAAGGGGAUUCCCAUGCCGGCCCCGCCUCUCGUCCCCGCCUGGAGCCUCCCCUGGCAGCGCUUCUCUGUCCGGGCACCGGAUGGCGCCCUAACGAAAAGCCGCUGCCCCCCGACCGCCUCCAGAGACAGAUUGUCGGCGGUGCGUUCUACCAUCGUGGUUGGACAACACGUUGAGAUGGGGCCAUCCCAUACAGUUGAAGCGUCGUCCCCCACGCUUUAUGGGGUUGGUGGAGACCACGCUACGGGACCCGGCUGCGAGCACGGCUCUGGCAGCAGAGGUGGCACGUCUCUUGGUGAAGGGGGCCAUCACUGUCGUUCCCCCCCACGAGUCUCACCUAGGGUUUUAUUCCCGCUACUUCCUGGUUUCCAAGAAGUCAAGGGAAAAUAUACCUAUUCUGGAUCUUUGCGUGUUCAACAGAUUCGUUGCCACGAGGAAGUUCAGAAUGCUCACUGUCGGAGCAUUGUUCCGGUGUGUGAGAGAGGGCGAUUGGUUCACAUCCCUGGAUCUCAAGGAUGCUUACUUCCACCUCCCUGUUCGGCAGGCGCACAGGAAGUUUCUCCGCUUUGCCUUUAUGGGGAUGGUGUACGAGUACCAGUGUCUGCCGUUCGGCUACUCCCUGGCUCUGCGCACCUUCUCAAAGUGUGUGGAGAGGGCGUUGGAACCGCUCAGGCGUCAGGGAAAGAGGAUUCUCUUCUACCUAGACGACCUGCUUAUUCUGAG
rnacentral:lncRNA from 1 species